rnacentral:rRNA from 1 species
UUUUAAUAUUUUAAUAGAUUAAUUAAAUUUAAAUUAAUUUUUUAGUUUAUUUUAUUGGGGUGAUAAAAAAAUUUAUAAAACUUUUUUUUAAUUUAAUCAAUUUAUUAUUGAAUUUAUAUAAAUGUAAUAUGACUAAAUUUAAAUUUUAAUAAAUUAAAU